UCUUCAGCGCGAAGGGAAGUCGCUAUCGACACGGCGGUCUGCACGUCGAAAUGUGAGGGAAACGACGGUGCCAAAAACGUCCAGGUCAUCACCACACCGACAGGAAUUUACCUGAAUUUCGGCGGGUUCAAACAUAACGUUAAUAUUCCGGCGAGGAGACCCGCAAUGUAAAGGGAAUGGAGGUGCUAAACCUCCACACCCCAGAGCAUCACUACACCGAGAAGAAUUUGAGGGCUCAAACCUAACGUUGAUUUUACGACGAGGAGACCCGCAUCAUAAAGGACUACACGUGAAGACAUCCUAACUAGGAAAGAAACCCAAAGAGAAGGACGGCCUGUGCCAGAAAUAUGACAAGGUCGGAUUUAGGAUGCAAGAAGCAGGGAAGGAGACAUCUCUCAGCAUCUUCCAGGACCUUGUUGUUGCCUUCAACUACACGUCUCAUGGGAAAAGGCUUUAAGGGAUGAAAAAAAGGUUAGUGAUUUGUGAUGUGCAUUAAGUAGCUUUUGGCACCAAACUUAGAAUUAACUCUGUGUAUCUGAGACAUUUUCGACAGGGAUAAUCAACUUUCUUGGUUGUUGGCAAGGUGGUUGAGUUUGCUUUGGUGACAUCCUGAGUGACAUUGCUGGUUUGGGGUUGGAGCAUUUUGAGAUUUUUGGCUCCUUUUGCACACAUGGCUUUAGUCUGUUUCUGUGGGAUACAGGUCCGAUGUAUGGUUGAUUUGGUUUCUGUGACUAUGCCGGGGGCUGGGAUUGUGUUUGGAGUUGCUGCAAAGUUCAGUCCUCUAGAAAACGGAGACUUCCCUACGUUCUGUUAGCCCGUGAUUAUUUAGGUAUCUUGUACUGCCUGACCUUCUUUCUGCAUUAUGUGAUUGUCAGUGGGUCGGGAACCCUGACCAUUACAUAAGCUGCCUUGUGAAUGAAAUAAUGGGGCGGGGGUGGAUCAUCUGGUUCUGGGGUA